UACGUAGGUGGCAAGCGUUGUCCGGAAUUACUGGGUGUAAAGGGCGUGUAGGCGGGCGCUUAAGUCAGACGUGAAAUACCGAGGCUCAACCUCGGGGCUGCGUUUGAAACUGGGCGUCUUGAGUGCCGGAGAGGGAAGCGGAAGUCCUAGUGUAGCGGUGAAAUGCGUAGAUAUUAGGAGGAACACCAGUGGCGAAGGCGGCUUUCUGGACGGUAACUGACGCUGAGGCGCGAAAGCGUGGGGAGCAAACAGG
rnacentral:rRNA from 1 species